rnacentral:rRNA from 1 species
CGUUCCCGGGUCUUGUACACACCGCCCCGUCAAGCCAUGGGAGUUGGGAGGACCUGAAGGCAGUUGCUGCGAGGCGCUGUUUUAGGGGUUAAAACCAAUGACUGGGGCU